AGAGUUUGAUCCUGGCUCAGAUUGAACGCUGGCGGAAUGCUUUACACAUGCAAGUCGAACGGCAGCAUAGGUGCUUGCACCUGAUGGCGAGUGGCGAACGGGUGAGUAAUACAUCGGAACGUGCCCGGUCGUGGGGGAUAACGUAGCGAAAGUUACGCUAAUACCGCAUACGAUCUACGGAUGAAAGCGGGGGACCGUAAGGCCUCGCGCGAUUGGAGCGGCCGAUGUUAGAUUAGGUAGUUGGUGGGGUAAAGGCUCACCAAGCCGACGAUCUAUAGCUGGUCUGAGAGGAUGAUCAGCCACACUGGGACUGAGACACGGCCCAGACUCCUACGGGAGGCAGCAGUGGGGAAUUUUGGACAAUGGGCGCAAGCCUGAUCCAGCCAUUCCGCGUGCAGGACGAAGGCCUUCGGGUUGUAAACUGCUUUUGUACAGAACGAAAAGCUCUGGGUUAAUACCCUGGGGUCAUGACGGUACUGUAAGAAUAAGCACCGGCUAACUACGUAGGAGCAGCCGCGGUAAU
rnacentral:rRNA from 1 species